GGGUGCGUAGCGCAGUGGUAGCGCGUAUGCUUUGCAGCUGCUCAAGCAAUUGAGCGAAUUUGUAUAAGGUCCAGGGUUCAAUCCCCUGCGCAUCCA